UGGGGAAUAUUGCACAAUGGGCGCAAGCCUGAUGCAGCGACGCCGCGUGGGGGAUGAAGGCCUUCGGGUUGUAAACUCCUUUCGCUAGGGACGAAGCAUUUUUGUGACGGUACCUGGAGAAGAAGCACCGGCUAACUACGUGCCAGCAGCCGCGGUAAUACGUAGGGUGCGAGCGUUGUCCGGAAUUACUGGGCGUAAAGAGCUCGUAGGUGGUUUGUCGCGUCGUUUGUGUAAGUCCACAGCUUAACUGUGGGACUGCAGGCGAUACGGGCAUAACUUGAGUGCUGUAGGGGAGACUGGAAUUCCUGGUGUAGCGGUGAAAUGCGCAGAUAUCAGGAGGAACACCGAUGGCGAAGGCAGGUCUCUGGGCAGUAACUGACGCUGAGGAGCGAAAGCAUGGGUAGCGAACAGG
rnacentral:rRNA from 1 species